CAUGGUUACUUUCCGGUGCCAUGCGCCACGUCAGUUCGUCCCCUCCAUUUCGAAAAAGCUCCGAAUCAGAAUAAAAGCAAUAGCGUCUUCAUCCUUUUGUUCAUGUACAACGACGUGCUGGUUUCCCACUUUACAUUGUACGAAUAGCAUCUUUACUUUCUAUCUUUGCCGCACCUUGUCGGUCGGUACUUGGAGUUGUAACUUCCAGGGGCUUGUGCUGUCGCUGUGCCGCUCCCCGAGCUGUACCUGGAAUCGUCCUGUCACGAAUUUCUUUUGUUCAUUUGAGGACAAUAGAACCAGAGCUUGUCUUUAGCUUUCGAAAUGGAUGGGGAGAAGUUCAGGCCUCACGAGCAGAAGGUUGCGUUUGACAAUCGGUACCUGAUAGUGCCGAUUCUGCUCUUCGUUCUACUCCUAGGAUUCGGUGUGUAUCGCUUGCUAAAUAGUCGGUCGGAGAAGCAGCGCAAGCAAGAGGAGAAGCGGAAGCAGAAGCAAGAGAAAAAGGAGAAAAAGAGAUGAAACUCACAAUACCUGCUGCUGCUUAUGAUUAUUUUUAUUCAAAUUUCGCUCCCGUUAGCUGGUCCUUUGAAACUCUGUUUGCAUCAUAACUGCGCUACAACGCUCCUUAAUUUUCUUGAAGCUCGUAGGUAAUAUAGAUGAGACCACGGUAGAAUACCCCUGCAUUCUGCUCCGCACUACAUGCGUUUGUUCGUAUUGUGCUGUUUUAUUUCAUAAUUUCCUACAUUUUCUAUAUAUCCCUAGUUACAUUUUCAUAGUCUAUCUUGUGCCACAGUGCGUAUUUCAGUUUUACUCAGACCUGUUCUCAAACUA